CCUACGGUGUGCAGCAGUGAGGAAUAUUGGUCAAUGGGCGCGAGCCGGAACCAGCCAAGUAGCGUGAAGGAUGACUGCCCUACGGGUUGUAAACUUCUUUUAUAAAGGAAUAAAGUGAGGCACGUGUGCCUUUUUGUAUGUACUUUAUGAAUAAGGAUCGGCUAACUCCGUGCCAGCAGCCGCGGUAAUACGGAGGAUCCGAGCGUUAUCCGGAUUUAUUGGGUUUAAAGGGAGCGUAGAUGGGUUGUUAAGUCAGUUGUGAAAGUUUGCGGCUCAACCGUAAAAUUGCAAUUGAUACUGGCAGUCUUGAGUACAGUUGAGGUAGGCGGAAUUCGUGGUGUAGCGGUGAAAGGCUUAGAUAUCACGAAGAACUCCGAUUGCGAAGGCAGCUUACUAAACUGCCACUGACAUUGAUGCUCGAAAGUGUGGGUAUCAAACAGGAGUAGAUACCCGGGUAGUC
rnacentral:rRNA from 1 species